ensembl:miRNA MIR6860 microRNA 6860
GUUAAGCAUUGGGGAGUUUGGAGUCGGUGGGUGGAGCCAAACUGGGCAGGGCUGUGGUGAGUGAGU